rnacentral:rRNA from 1 species
CGUUGAUUACGUCCCUGCCCUUUGUACACAACACCCGUCGCUACUACCGAUUGAAUGGCUCAGUGAGGCGUCCGGACUGGCCCAGAAAGGAGGGAAGCCACCACUCAGGGCCGGAAAGCUCACCAAACUCGGUCAUUUAGAGGAAGUAAAAGUCGUAACACGG